rnacentral:rRNA from 1 species
GAUGAACGCUAACGGCAGGCCUAACACAUGCAAGUCGAGGGGUAACUAGAGUGAUAGCAAUAUUACUUUGGCUAGACCGGCGCACGGGUGCGUAACACGUAUGCAACCUACCUUAUACUGGGGAAUAACUUCGAGAAAUCGGCGCUAAUACCCCAUAACAUUGCGAAGAGGCACUUCUUUGCAAUUAAAGCUCCGGCGGUAUAAGAUGGGCAUGCGUCCAAUUAGCUAGUUGGUGAGGUAACGGCUCACCAAGGCUACGAUUGGUAGGGGUUCUGAGAGGAUGAUCCCCCACACUGGUACUGAGACACGGACCAGACUCCUACGGGAGGCAGCAGUGAGGAAUAUUGCGCAAUGGACGAAAGUCUGACGCAGCCAUGCCGCGUGCAGGAUGACGGCCCUAUGGGUUGUAAACUGCUUUUGUACGGGAAUAAACCCUUCUACGUGUAGGAGGCUGAAGGUACCGUAAGAAUAAGCACCGGCUAACUCCGUGCCAGCCGCCGCCGUAAAAC